UAAGCGGAGGAAAAGAAACUNACAAGGAUUCCCCUAGUAACUGCGAGUGAAGCGGGAAAAGCUCAAAUUUGAAAUCUGGUGGUCUUUGNCCAUCCGAGUUGUAAUUUAGAGAAGCNUCUUCCGCGCUGGACCGUGCACAAGUCUCCUGGAAUGGAGCGUCAUAGAGGGUGAGAAUCCCGUCUUUGGCACGGAAUCCCAGGGCUUCUGUGAUGCGCUCUCGACGAGUCGAGUUGUUUGGGAAUGCAGCUCAAAAUGGGUGGUGAACUCCAUCUAAAGCUAAAUAUUGGCGAGAGACCGAUAGCGAACAAGUACCGUGAGGGAAAGAUGAAAAGCACUUUGGAAAGAGAGUGAAACAGUACGUGAAAUUGUUGAAAGGGAAACGCUUGGAGUCAGUCGCGUCGACCGAGACUCAGCCCUGCCUCGGCUUGGUGUACUUCUCGGCUUGACGGGUCAGCAUCGAUUUCGAUCCUCGGAUAAUGGCAAGGGAAAGGUAGCACCUUUUUAGGUGUGUUAUAGUCCUCUGUCGCAUGCGAGGGUCGGGAUCGAGGAACUCAGCACGCACCUCAGGGUGUCGGGGCCUUGGCCCACGUUUACGUGCUUAGGAUGCUGGCGUAAUGGCUUUAAACGACC
rnacentral:rRNA from 1 species